rnacentral:lncRNA from 1 species
CGCGGACCCCGAUGUAUGUGGGGGCUGGUCACCCGGGAUCGUGUGUUCUCUGUUAGGGAUUGAAACUAGCUUUUCCGGAUAGCGCGGGACUGGUCUGACUGAGGUCCUGCAGCUUGCUGGUGAAGGUGAAUAGGCACAGGGGAGGGAGGGGACGUAGAAAGAACUGAAAUGGUUGUAUGCAGGCACCGACUCCCUCGUGGCAGCCCAGCAUCAUUUUCUGCAGGCAUGUGCUCAUGAAAGUUAACAAAAGAAAAUGAAACGAGAACUGGACUUGGGGACCUGGGGCGGAGACGGGGACUGAGGCAGGCGUCUCACUCUCGGGCUCCCUACGGAGGACACCAGGGAGCGGUGACAGGAAGCGUGAGACAGACAGCGAGCAGGUGACAGGAAGUGUGAAACUCUCCCCCUGGGGGUACCCUGGGGCAACGAUGCCCACAGCCUUGGUGUCCAGCUGCCUAGGAGAGGCCCAAGUGCCAGGGCCCCGAUGGGCACCUGCACAGGACGGAGCAGUGGCUUUGAAUGGCCCACGGCCAGGGCUGAUGUGGACAGGGCCGACUCAUCCCUGUGUUCAUGGCCCGCCCGGCUCAGGGGUGGACCGCACUUCCCAGCCUCCUCUGCACCACCAUGGCCGCUUGACCAGGGCUGGCCAAUAGGGUGUGUGCAGGGUGGAUGCUGCCCAGGCCCUGUCCCUAACCCGGACCCACUGCCCAGGGAGUGAGCUCCCGAUAACCAUGACGUGGGGGAGAAAUAAGCUUUAUUUAUUUUUUUGUUUUGUUUUGUUUGUUUUUUGAGACUCUUUUUUUUUUUGGGUACUGGGGAUCGAACUCGGGUCCUUGAACUUGCACAGCAGGUUGCAAAACCACUGAGCUAAAUCCCUGGCCCAAACAAGUAGUUUUUUUUUUUUGUACCGGGGAUCCAACUCGGGACCUUGGGCUUGCAAGGCAGGCAGCGGCAGCACUGAGCUAAAUGUCCGGCCCUGUUUUGUUUGUUUUGAGACAGGGGCUUGCUAUGUACUCCAGGCUGGCCUUGAACUCACUAUGUAGUCCAGGCUGGCCUCUGAUUUGCAGGGAUCCUCCUGCCGCAGGCUCCUGAGUGCUAGGAUUACUGACGUGCCCAGCAAGAAAUAAGCUUUCUUGUGUUAAGCCAGUGGGUUGAUCUGGAAGAGUGUAUCACGGGCCACAGCCUUGCCCAUUCCACUAACUUCACAGUUUAACCCAGAAAUCGGCAAACUCCUAACCAACUUCCCUUGCACUGAGUUAAUGUUUAGUUCUGGAGGUCACAUGCUUGCCACUUACUGUCCCAGUCAGGCCAGGAAGUACCCAGAGUCACCCAGGGGUGCCAGCCUCAUGGUCCCUGCUUCCACGUGUGACGGCGGCCCUGCCGCCUCAGGGUCCAGGCCCCUCACCCCUGCCAGGCUGGUGAUGCCUCCCUGUGCCUGCUGGUCUCUUGACACGAGGAGCCCACAGUGACCAGUGGCAGCGGUGGCCAGCCCCUGGUGGCAGCAUCCCUCUGAGGAAGCCACAGCCUCCCCUGCAGGGUGCACGGGGUGUGGAGGGAGGACCUCCCCACUCCUUGCAUCCUUUGGUCCUGCGACCUUGGCGGAUCCUGGGGGCACCAGCCAACCCACUGGGCUCCCCACGAGCCUGGAGAGCAGUGCUGACCAUCCUGACCAGCGCUUCCUGGCUGGGCACGGUGCCGGUCCGAGAGAGCCCUGCUGCUGGAUGGGUCCCUUGGAAACGUGCGUGAUUUCGGGCGCUGCGACCGGAAAUGUCUUCAUCCUCCUGGACACUGGAUUUACAUUCGGGGGGAUUUAUCCAAGAAAAUUAUCCAUAAAAAGUGAUAAAUCUUUAUGCCUAAAGAUACCUACUGCAGAAUUAUUUAACAAUAGAC